rnacentral:rRNA from 1 species
UACGAAGGGGGCUAGCGUUGCUCGGAAUCACUGGGCGUAAAGCGCACGUAGGCGGACUUUUAAGUCGGUGGUGAAAUCCUGGAGCUCAACUCCAGAACUGCCUUUGAUACUGAAGAUCUUGAGUCCGGGAGAGGUGAGUGGAACUGCGAGUGUAGAGGUGAAAUUCGUAGAUAUUCGCAAGAACACCAGUGGCGAAGGCGGCUCACUGGCCCGGUACUGACGCUGAGGCACGAAAGCGUGGGGAGCAAACAGG